AUGGGGGAAACCCUGACGCAGCGACGCCGCGUGCGGGAUGAAGGCCUUCGGGUUGUAAACCGCUUUCACCAGGGACGAAGCGAGAGUGACGGUACCUGGGGAAGAAGCGCCGGCUAACUACGUGCCAGCAGCCGCGGUAAUACGUAGGGCGCGAGCGUUGUCCGGAAUUAUUGGGCGUAAAGAGCUCGUAGGCGGCCGGUUGCGUCUGCUGUGAAAUCCCGGGGCUUAACCCCGGGCGUGCAGUGGAUACGGGCCGGCUGGAGGCAGGCAGGGGAGAAUGGAAUUCCCGGUGUAGCGGUGAAAUGCGCAGGUAUCGGGAGGAACACCGGUGGCGAAGGCGGUUCUCUGGGCCUGUACUGACGCUGAGGAGCGAAAGCGUGGGGAGCGAACAGGAUUAGGUACCCUGGUAGUCCACGCCGUAAACGUUGGGCGCUAGGUGUGGGUCCCUUCCACGGGGUCUGUGCCGCAGCUAACGCAUUAAGCGCCCCGCCUGGGGAGUACGG
rnacentral:rRNA from 1 species